CUAAGGUGAGAAACUACAUGUACAUGCUUGACACAACUUGAAAACAAUACAAAACAACAAAUCACAAUUGCAAAAUCAUACAACACAAAUGGAAUCACAAUCCGUAAGGGUGGCAAAGAAAGAGAGUGCAUGUGGUGGGCAAUAUUAAGCUGAUAUGCAGACCUGGGAUGGUGUCAGACAAGUGCUAAAGGCACUGUUUGUUUCCUGCCCCCAUGCUGAGCUCAGACCACAACCGAAACCAGAGCCUGCCAUUUAUCACUUGACCACGUACAUCUGAACCUGUAAGACCCUUGCACAGCCUUCACUGAGGUGUGAAAACUGACAGUUUCCUUCUCCUGCCACUGGUUCUGCAGUAAUUAAAGCUUUUUUGCUGUUGCA